rnacentral:rRNA from 1 species
CAGUCGCACGGGAAUACGUAGGGUGCAAGCGUUAAUCGGAAUUACUGGGCGUAAAGCGUGCGCAGGCGGUUUUGUAAGACAGAGGUGAAAUCCCCGGGCUCAACCUGGGAACUGCCUUUGUGACUGCAAGGCUAGAGUACGGCAGAGGGGGAUGGAAUUCCGCGUGUAGCAGUGAAAUGCGUAGAUAUGCGGAGGAACACCGAUGGCGAAGGCAAUCCCCUGGGCCUGUACUGACGCUCAUGCACGAAAGCGUGGGGAGCAAACAGGAUUAGAUACCCCCGUAGUCCCUGUCUCUUAUACC